CUCCUUGGCCAUCUUUCAGAGGCCUGGGUCGAAUGUCAAGGCUGCGCGGCUCCUUAAUGGGAAAAUGAACCGCGGCGCUCUUUGAGCUGCGCAGCAAAGAUUCGAGGGCAGCCAACCACCCGGCAAACAUCUCGAGAGCCGCGGCCUCCGCAAGGAAACGGAGGUCUCAUUUUUGGCCUAGCCUUCUUCUGGUUACAGGAUUUCAUCCAAAAAUCAUCAGCCAGGAAGUUCCUCAUGUCUUUUCAGGUCUUUAAUGCUUUUA
rnacentral:lncRNA from 12 species